AAUCGUUGAGGCUGAAGUCGU
rnacentral:miRNA from 1 species